UAAACGUCUCAGUUCGGAUUGUAGUCUGCAACUCGACUACAUGAAGCUGGAAUCGCUAGUAAUCGCAGAUCAGAAUGCUGCGGUGAAUACGUUCCCGGGUCUUGUACACACCGCCCGUCACACCAUGAGAGUUGGCAAUACCCAACGUACGUGAUCUAACCCGCAAGGGAGGAAGCGUCCUAAGGUAGGGUCAGCGAUUGGGGUGAAGUCGUAACAAGGUAAC
rnacentral:rRNA from 1 species